UGAGGAAUAUUGGUCAAUGGGCGAGAGCCUGAACCAGCCAAGUCGCGUGAAGGAAGACAGUCCUAAGGAUUGUAAACUUCUUUUAUACGGGAAUAACGGGCGAUACGAGUAUUGCAUUGAAUGUACCGUAAGAAUAAGCAUCGGCUAACUCCGUGCCAGCAGCCGCGGUAAUACGGAGGAUGCGAGCGUUAUCCGGAUUUAUUGGGUUUAAAGGGUGCGUAGGUUGUUCGGUAAGUCAGCGGUGAAACCUGAGCGCUGAACGUUCAGCCUGCCGUUGAAACUGCCGGGCUUGAGUUCAGUGGCGGCAGGCGGAAUUCGUGGUGUAGCGGUGAAAUGCAUAGAUAUCACGAGGAACUCCGAUUGCGAAGGCAGCUUGCCAUACUGCGACUGACACUGAAGCACGAAGGCGUGGGUAUCAAACAGG
rnacentral:rRNA from 1 species